rnacentral:ncRNA from 1 species
UUCUAUCAGGGCAAACUGUCCGUGAGGACAGGGCGCAAAGCUACGGGGCUUUCCAUCUUUUCCCUCCCCCUCGAUGGGGGAGGGUCAGGGUGGGGGUGACGUUCAAGCCAGCCGGGCUGCCGAGG